UUUUCAAUAAAUAAAUUGGAUUUUAAAUACACGCCGCCCUCUUAUAAACGCCGCAUUAGAAUCACGUAGAAUUUAUUAAACGCCGCGUCAUUUAAUCGAAUAAAUACGCUACUUGCGCAAUAAGGGUGGAUUCGUGAUCAAAAAUGGAAAACUAACAAAAAAUACCAGGUAAUCAAGUAAUUAACAUACAGGCGACUUGUCGAAUCCUUUCUCUUACACUAUUGAUCACGUGUACAAGCCAGAUUAUCAUUAUGAGGUCACGAGCCAGAUGUGCUGAUCUUUCAUGGAAUGAGGGAAAAACCCCUAUUUGAUUAUUUGUACUUCAACUUUUGGUUUCACAUUCAGUCGUUUUACAAUGCAUGGUAACGUUAGUUUUGCAGAAGUCUCGAAGAUUCAGAAACUCAAGCUUUUCCAAUGCAGUAAUUGCUGUAAACUUUUCUCCAUAGGAUUCCGAGUCAUCUGAAUUAUAGUUUUCUGUUUAGCCCAGGUGAAGGUCUGAGUCAUGGCGGAAAGUGAAAUUAAGUCACGUGAAGCAAGAGUAGAUUCUGAUGAAUAUGUUUUAGCAGACAUAGCCCAAGGCCCAGCUCCAGGCCCAGGCCCUCCUAAUGAAAAACUUGAUUUUGAUGAUGAUACUCUAAGAGGUGAGAGAAUAACUGCCAAUUAGUUUAUUAUAUAAUACACUAUUAAUUUUACACCAUAUCGUACCUGUUCGGUUAGUUUUGGUGGGAUUUUGAGCCAUGGCCAACCAACCAGGCC